GGGCCCGUGGUCCAGUGGUCAAGACACUACCCUCACACGGUAGAUACCGGGGUUCGAAUCCCCGCGGGCCCA
rnacentral:tRNA from 1 species